CCUACGGGAGGCAGCAGUGAGGAAUAUUGGACAAUGGGCGCAAGCCUGAUCCAGCCAUGCCGCGUGCAGGAUGACGGUCCUAUGGAUUGUAAACUGCUUUUGCACAGGAAGAAACAACAUUACGUGUAAUGUCUUGACGGUACUGUGAGAAUAAGGAUCGGCUAACUCCGUGCCAGCAGCCGCGGUAAUACGGAGGAUCCAAGCGUUAUCCGGAAUCAUUGGGUUUAAAGGGUCCGUAGGCGGUUUAGUAAGUCAGUGGUGAAAGCCCAUCGCUCAACGGUGGAACGGCCAUUGAUACUGCUAGACUUGAAUUAUUAGGAAGUAACUAGAAUAUGUAGUGUAGCGGUGAAAUGCUUAGAGAUUACAUGGAAUACCAAUUGCGAAGGCAGGUUACUACUAAUUGAUUGACGCUGAUGGACGAAAGCGUGGGUAGCGAACAGGAUUAGAUACCCUGGUAGUCCACGCCGUAAACGAUGGAUACUAGCUGUUGGGAGCGAUCUCAGUGGCUAAGCGAAAGUGAUAAGUAUCCCACCUGGGGAGUACGUUCGCAAGAAUGAAACUCAAAUGAAUUGACGG
rnacentral:rRNA from 1 species